AUGCAUUUCCCAUAGGGUCCUAUGUUAAACUAAGUCCCCCGCUGGCGGCCAUCUUGGAUGAUGGAUCGGCUACAAAGUAACAACACUUGGUCAGCACCCCAUAAGGAUAAUUCAUGCUAUGUUUAGUUUUAUUCCAUUCAGUGGUUCUCUAAAAGAAGUCAUUUGUAUGCAUUUCCCAUAGGGUCCUAUGUUAAACUAAGUCCCCGGCUGGCGGCCAUCUUGGAUGAUGGAUCGACAACAAAGUAACAACACUUGGUCAGCACCUCAUAAGGAACAUUCAUGCCAUGUUUGGUUUCAUUCCAUUCAGUGGUUCUCUAAAAGAAGUCAUUUGUAUGCAUUUCCCAUAGCGUCCUAUGUUAAACUAAGUCCCCCGCUGGCGGCCAUCUUGGAUGAUGGAUCGGCUACAAAGUAACAACACUUGGUCAGCACCUCAUAAGGAACAUUCAUGCCAUGUUUGGUUCCAUUCCAUUCAGUGGUUCUCUAGAAGAAGUUCAAAAUGUAAAUUG
rnacentral:lncRNA from 1 species